rnacentral:rRNA from 1 species
GAUGAACGCUGGCGGCGUGCUUAACACAUGCAAGUCGAACGGAAAGGCCCAAGCUUGCUUGGGUCCUCGAGUGGCGAACGGGUGAGUAACACGUGGGUGAUCUGCCCUGCACUUCGGGAUAAGCCUGGGAAACUGGGUCUAAUACCGGAUAGGACGAUGGUUUGGAUGCCAUUGUGGAAAGUUUUUUCGGUGUGGGAUGAGCUCGCGGCCUAUCAGCUUGUUGGUGGGGUAAUGGCCUACCAAGGCGUCGACGGGUAGCCGGCCUGAGAGGGUGUACGGCCACAUUGGGACUGAGAUACGGCCCAGACUCCUACGGGAGGCAGCAGUGGGGAAUAUUGCACAAUGGGCGCAAGCCUGAUGCAGCGACGCCGCGUGGGGGAUGACGGCCUUCGGGUUGUAAACGCCUUUCGCUAGGGACGAAGCGUUUUGUGACGGUACCUGGAGAAGAAGCACCGGCUAACUACGUG